AUUUUGACCUCAAAUCAGGUAGGACUAC
rnacentral:rRNA from 1 species